rnacentral:lncRNA from 1 species
UUUAUAUUCAAAAAUGAUGAAAACGACGUUUUUAGUAAUGAAACGUUGAAAUAAAGACGAAAAUGCAAAAAAAAGAAACGUAGGGACGUUUUCCGCAAUAAAUGUUAAACGUAAGAACGUUUUGUGCUAUUAACCCCUCUUUAGUUUGAUAUCUAGUAAAAAUAAAGAAUUGCUCGCUACAGCGAUCAUCAUAUUCAUACAUUAAAUAAUUAUUUGUCAUGUGCAUGCUAUUUAGAACGACUAUUAUAAUGAGUAACUGCGAAUAACAUUACUCAAACAUUAAGCAAUAACUAAAGAUUUGAUAAAGUAAUAUAAUAGAAAUAUAAAUUAAAACCUUAACUCGACUCAUUUAAUAUAACAUGCACUACGUGCUUACUUAUUAAUGCCUAAUAAUGAGUUGUAGGCAUUUAAGUUUCUCCAAUAAAAGGAAAAUCUUACAUUUGAAGAUUCUCUUGUAAAUACUAUAAAUACAAAAAUACGAUUGAACACUAAAAAUGGAAAUUAGAAAAAAAAACGAAAAAGAAAAAUGCAUAUAUAAGUGUAAUCUAGGCCCCGUUUGGCUCCAUUAAAUUAUAUUCUAGUACAUUUUAUUUUUCUCUCUUAUUUUUAAAAAAAUUUCCUCAUUUUUCAAUCACCCAUUUUUUCAAAGAAAUAUUACUCCACCGAUUUUCAUUACAAAAAAAAUAGGGCCACAAGGGGCUAAAUCCUGUUAUAUCGGUCUCUUCCUACGCAAUCUCUUUGAAGAAGCCCUUGAAACGAAGUAUCCAACGCCAAGACACAUCGCCCAAAUCCCCACAUCCAGGGCCCAUCCCACCGCCUGGUCCGCCUCCAUCUCCACCUCCAUCUCGCCACCGCUAUUGCUGCCGUCGCCAUUACAAUCAGAACAACCACAGCAGCCGUCUGAUUCAAGCUCAAAAUCUCCCUCUCUCUCCUCCGGAAUUUCCUCCAAUUGACAACACGUCGAGCGACUCCGCCGCCGUGCGACUGCCAUCUCCACCUUCUCUCUCAUCACCGCUGCUUGACCUUCCACAGAGACACAUAUCUCAGCAUCCUUCACCUUGAUAUCAUCAUUCUCCAUUAAACAACAUUUGCACUCCAUUUUCCAAUUUUCUCCCUCGUCUUUCCCAAAAGUCCCUUUCAACACCUUUACAUCCCCAACAAAUAUCUCAAAUCUCAAUCCUUCACACGCCUUUACGCUCUCUCUACUUCCAUAAACAACCCCCUUGCUCUCCUCCAAUAAUACCCUGUGGAGCGUGACAAAACCUGGCGAAUCGGGUUUAAUACCUGACCCGUUUAUCUCCAAAGGGCUUCCGUUAAUCCGAGGAAGAUAAUGCAGCGUCAAAAUAUCAGGUAAAAUCUUUCGGGUACAUGAAACUGAUAAAUGAAUAUAAAAUGCUUUGAGUCUCAAGCGAUCUUUUUCGUUCAGUUGAAAUCCUCUACACAUUUUUGGCGAUUCUUGAUUUGAUUUUGUAUAAUUUGUUGUGAAAAAAAAUUCGAGCUGAAAAUGCUAAAUAUAGAUUUGUGAGGGGUUUGUAUAAGUAGAUGAAAGGAUUGAUGGUAUCAGAAGAAAUCGAUGGGACAGAGAGCACACGGUUUUGACGAUUUAGAGUUGUAGCAGAAGGUGACGUGGGGAAGACGACAAAGGUGUUCGUAGUUUCAAGGGCCAAUUGUUUUCGUUUUGCCGCGUUCUGUGCCAUUGCAACUUGACAGCUUCUUUCUUGCCUGAUGCUUAUCUUUAGACCCUGUUUCAUUCUCAUUUUUAUGAAAAUGUAUUUUAUUUUUCUCUUUUUAACCACACAUUUUUGAUUAAAAUGAUAUUACACGUAAAUCAAUUUUUUUUUUUA